rnacentral:lncRNA from 1 species
UCUGGAUCAUAGCAUACAUGACAGGAGAGCAUCUCCAUAUCAGCAACUUUGUUAUCGCUACUGGUGGCCAUGGCAGACUCAGAUGAACACCCAGUGUUCUCCUGAAACAAAAUCAAACCAAUGUUCAUUAAGUAAUCGAGUGUUCUCCUGAAACAAAAACAAACCGGUGUUCAGUAAGUAAUACAAGGAAAGGAAAAUGAUAUUGACAGAAAGAAAACACAAAAGGGAAACCUAACCUUUCAGGAACAGAUGCAACUUUCUCUUUCUUUUGUUUUCAUCCUUUCUUCGAUUGCUUCUCCGACUUCUCUUGUUGUGCUGACUUCUUUUUGUCACUUAGAGAACACUUACCACUCUCAAGUUCAAUGUCAACGUAUACAAUAUCCAGAAUGACAAGCUA